CGGAUUGUAGUCUGCAACCCGACUACAUGAAGCUGGAAUCGCUAGUAAUCGCAGGUCAGCAUACUGCGGUGAAUACGUUCCCGGGUCUUGUACACACCGCCCGUCACACCAUGGGAGCCGGAAAUGCCCGAAGCCAGUGACCCAACCUUAGGGAGGGAGCUGUCGAAGGUGGAGCCGGUAACUGGGGUGAAGUCGUAACAAGGUAGC
rnacentral:rRNA from 1 species